rnacentral:ncRNA from 2 species
GCGCCUCAAAGCGCCGAUUUGGUCCGGCUUGCGGGCGCUCUAGAAAUUCCGCUAAAGAGGGGCACUCGACGA